rnacentral:rRNA from 1 species
UAGGGAAUCUUCCGCAAUGGACGCAAGUCUGACGGAGCAACGCCGCGUGAGUGAAGAAGGUUUUCGGAUCGUAAAACUCUGUUGUUAGAGAAGAACAAGUGCUAGAGUAACUGUUAGCGCCUUGACGGUAAUCAACCAGAAAGUCACGGCUAACUACGUGCCAGCAGCCGCGGUAAUACGUAGGUGGCAAGCGUUGUCCGGAUUUAUUGGGCGUAAAGCGAGCGCAGGCGGAAUGAUAAGUCUGAUGUGAAAGCCCACGGCUCAACCGUGGAACUGCAUCGGAAACUGUCAUUCUUGAGUGCAGAAGAGGAGAGUGGAACUCCAUGUGUAGCGGUGGAAUGCGUAGAUAUAUGGAAGAACACCAGUGGCGAAGGCGGCUCUCUGGUCUGCAACUGACGCUGAGGCUCGAAAGCAUGGGUAGCGAACAGGAUUAGAUACCCUGGUAGUCCAUGCCGUAAACGAUGAGCGCUAGGUGUUGGGGACUUUCCGGUCCUCAGUGCCGCAGCAAACGCAUUAAGCGCUCCGCCUGGGGAGUACGACCGCAAGGUUG